rnacentral:rRNA from 1 species
UACAGAGGUGGCAAGCGUUGUUCGGAAUUACUGGGCGUAAAGGGCGCGUAGGCGGUUCGUCAAGUUCUGUGUGAAAUCCCCCGGCUCAACUGGGGAACUGCACAGGAAACUAGCGGGCUUGAGUUCGGGAGAGGGAAGCGGAAUUCCGGGUGUAGCGGUGAAAUGCGUAGAUAUCCGGAGGAACACCGGUGGCGAAGGCGGCUUCCUGGACCGACACUGACGCUGAGGCGCGAAAGCUAGGGGAGCAAACGGG